rnacentral:antisense_RNA from 1 species
CCUGUGCCGCUGUUCAUCGGGCCGCGCGGGGAAGGCGGCGGCCAAGAUGCGUUCCGUCACGUAGUGCCUGGUACUGGAUAGGAACUUCAUGGAAUGGAGCUAAUGGGCCGUAGGGCAGGUUUGAGUCUUGCCACCCUGGAGCGGAAGGUGGAGAGUAGGGAUAAGGGUGGAGAGAAACUAGGAGAAAGCACAGGAUGUAGAGGUCUAUUCGGCAUAAUCUUCUCCCUCAUUUUCAUCUUCACCAUCAACAGAGAGAGCAGCAUACUUGCUUGCAGAACUGAACUUCUGUAAUACAACAAGAGUGACAGGAUAAUGAAGGCCCUGAAUUAUCACAUCAAAACCCAAGACACAGGAUACUGAUCCUUUGGCAAUGGGGGAUGACAGUCAGAUGACACCCACUUGCUUGCUCAUCAGCAUUGUCCACUGGAGAGGAGCUAGGGAAGAGGGUCAGAGGCACAUGUGAUCUUACUGUAGUCUCAUACCACCUCUACACCUUGCAGAAGGGAUGAGAACAAAGGAAGGCAGAAACUAGGAAAAAGCUAAACUUCUUUCGCUAUUUCAGACAAAGACCAAUGUCUUAUUUCCAAACACUUUGUAUUCCAAAUGGAAAGAAGUCCAACGGCAAAAAGUAUUCUAAGAAAAAUUGGGAGCA